AACGAACGCUGGCGGCAUGCCUAACACAUGCAAGUCGAACGAGACCUUCGGGUCUAGUGGCGCACGGGUGCGUAACGCGUGGGAACCUGCCCUUAGGUUCGGAAUAACUCCCCGAAAGGGGUGCUAAUACCGGAUAAUGUCUUCGGACCAAGGAUUUAUCGCCUUUGGAUGGGCCCGCGUUGGAUUAGCUAGUUGGUAGGGUAAAAGCCUACCAAGGCGACGAUCCAUAGCUGGUCUGAGAGGAUGAUCAGCUACACUGGGACUGAGACACGGCCCAGACUCCUACGGGAGGCAGCAGUGGGGAAUAUUGGACAAUGGGCGAAAGCCUGAUCCAGCAAUGCCGCGUGAGUGAUGAAGGCCUUAGGGUUGUAAAGCUCUUUUACCCGGGAUGAUAAUGACAGUACCGGGAGAAUAAGCUCCGGCUAACUCCGUG
rnacentral:rRNA from 1 species